GUGAAUCAUCGAAUCUUUGAACGCACAUUGCGCCCCUUGGUAUUCCGAAGGGCAUGCCUGUUCGAGCGUCAUUAUCACCCCUCAAGCCCUGGCUUGGUGUUGGAUUUUAGUUAUAGCUUUGCCUAUCAACUAGUCUCAAAGAUAGUGACGGCGCCCCAGAGGGAACCGGGUACGAGGAGCUUUUUACUAAGCAUGUAUCUGGGACGACUCUGAUGGGCGACGGUCUUGUUAUACAUUUACCUAAGUGUUGACCUCGGAUCAGGUAGGAAUACCCGCUGAACUUAAGCAUAUCAAUAAGCG
rnacentral:misc_RNA from 1 species